UGGGGAAUAUUGCACAAUGGGCGCAAGCCUGAUGCAGCCAUGCCGCGUGUAUGAAGAAGGCCUUCGGAUUGUAAAGUACUUUCAGCGGGGAGGAAGGGAGUAAAGUUAAUACCUUUGCUCAUUGACGUUACCCGCAGAAGAAGCACCGGCUAACUCCGUGCCAGCAGCCGCGGUAAUACGGAGGGUGCAAGCGUUAAUCGGAAUUACUGGGCGUAAAGCGCACGCAGGCGGUUUGUUAAGUCAGAUGUGAAAUCCCCGGGCUCAACCUGGGAACUGCAUCUGAUACUGGCAAGCUUGAGUCUCGUAGAGGGGGGUAGAAUUCCAGGUGUAGCGGUGAAAUGCGUAGAGAUCUGGAGGAAUACCGGUGGCGAAGGCGGCC
rnacentral:rRNA from 1 species